rnacentral:lncRNA from 1 species
GGUACUCCUAAUUCUACUGUGGGUUGAUGCUUGUGUUUAAAAUAGAAAGAAAUACUGAAUUUCAGUUACAGAUUAGUGAACAUCUUUUUCCUCAAUCCAAGUUCACAGAUGGCUGAAUUCUUAACAUGAACCCCAGAUUAAGAACUGACUUGGAGGAUAACUGGGGUCCCUUCCAGCUCUCACACCAAGUGAUUUGAGUCUGAUCCCCAGCAGUCCUGGGGGUGGGAAGAGGAAGCCCUGUGCUCUGAGGAUGUUGACCCCAGGACAGGCACACCACAGCCUGGCUUUCCCAGAUUGAUCUGCUCUCAUGUUUCAGAGAAACUGGCUGGCAACUCCCCACGGGAGCCUUUGCCCUCACUGAUCAAUGGCUGCUGCCUCAGAUCUAUUGACCCAGCCUCUUGUUUUCCAGAAACAACCCGCCUUUCUCUUGUUAACCCCUGCCAGCCUGGCCCCAAACAGGAUGCCUCUGUGCUCCCAGCUCAGCACUAGAGCAAGACAGACUUCAGGAGAAGGACAGCAUCCUGUGGAUGAAGAGCACCUGCCAAAGGCCAGGAGCUAUGCUGGGCCCUCUCAUCUAAAUAAUUGGCUCAUUUAAUUGGCUGGCAGCAAAGGAGCUAGGCUUCAAAUCCCAGGUCUGUCUGAACUUCAAAUGCUGCUCUUUCUCCAGGGUACCAGAAGCCUCUAUCCCUGCUUCACCAUACAGUCCACAGGUCUGGGCUGUGCAAGGAGAGCAAGAUGGUGGGAAGCCAUGCUGUGUUUUGCUGAAGUUAAAUCUGAGAGCCGCAGAGUGUGGGAAGCAUCACCAUGAGUCUGUGCAGCAGCGUUUCUGGCAGCCUCGUAGGGGCAUGGGUGAACUGAGUUGUAAAGACUGGUCAGAGUGAAAGUGGUGGGUCUUGUCUGCUCAGCACCCACUGCCUUAUCUCCCAGUUACUGAGCAGCUCUAAAUCCAUAGGUUCAGCAGAGUUUACUCAAUCCCCAGCUCCAGGGCUGGGCAAGUGACCUAGGCCCGGCCAAUCACAAUAUUGAUUCUUCAAAGUCUGCUGUGAUUGAUUCAGGGGUGGGUAUGUGGCCAAAUUGGUCCAAUGGGAUUUGAUUUGUAAGCUUUUGUUUGAAUUCUUGGGGAGCAGAAUCUCUCUUUUCACAGGACUCACAGCUGGGAGGAUAUGGGCCUGGAGCUUUUGGAAGCUAAUAAGUACAAAGAGAAAAUCUGACUAAGGCUAACAUAGCAAAACAGAGUGCUGAGAGCACAGAGGCCACUCCUGAUGCCAUUGUGUGUGAACCCCUAGAUCCAACCAUUCCUGAAGGCUAACUGAACUUUUCAGUUAUUUGAGAGUCCUAAUUGAUACACUGGUUCUCCAAAAAAGCAUCUUUGGCUCUCUGAACACUAUCAGCUGGGGGAAUCUCACCAUCAGGAUGCAUUUCCACUCUCCACCCUUCCUCUCACUUCACAAUGGGUUACUUACUCUGUACCAGUUUUUGAGCUGUGCUCCUGGGAGAGAAAAAUGAAUAGGACCUGGGCCUUAUCUUCAAAGAGUCAUGGUCUAGAGAGGGUGAUAAACAUAACAAGAACAGCUCAGUGAAGAUAUGCAGAGAUAAAAUAAAAACUGUCAUGGGAAUGAAGAGACAAAGGAAGCCACAGUCUCAGAGGGAGAGGAGUGUUGAGUAGGGCCACUGAGAGGAGGAAUGAAUAUUCUUUCGGUUCCAUAGGUGUUUAUUGAGCAUCUGCUAUGUGCCAUCUACUGUACUAGACACUGGAAAUUUUGUGGUGACCACAAACAGAUAUGGCCCAUGACGUCAAGGAGCUGACAGUCUAGUGGCAGUGGGGUCACCAGACUUAGAAUAACCUGAGGGCACAGGACAGGAUCAUGGGGCCGUGAGAACAAAUAACGAAUGAACUAGACUUGGCUUUGGGAUCUAGGGGAGGCUUCUCCGAAGAAGAAAUCCUGGAGCAGAUAGUUGAAGGAGGAGCAGGAAUUCAGUAAGACAGAUGGAGCAUGGAGAUGGGGAAGCAUCCUCUACAGAAGGGAACAGCAUCUGUGAAGGUUCUGUGGUGGGGAAGAGCCAGACAACCCAACCAACAGAACCAAUUGUUUGGCUGGUCGAGAAGUUAGGACCCAUGAUCCUUAAAUCCAUGGCUUCCUUACCCCAGAUGGUUUUUCAAUCACCCUGAGUAUUGUUUUCCUUGUCUAUAAAAUGGGAUAACAGUAUCCACUUUGCAGGCUUGUUGAGGGGAUUAGAUGAAAUGAUGUGUUAAAAGGUCUGGCAGGGAGAAGGUUGUUGGUAAACAGCGUGGUUAAGAAUGUUCUCCCCGUCAGGUCCAAUCUCCAUCCUCCCUGGUGGAGGGUGGUUGAGGCUGUCAUCUGGUUCCCAGAGUUCUCACUUGCCUUCUGUGAAGCCUCCUCUGCAUCCACCAGCUCCCCACAGCUCUGCCCCCAGAACUCAGCUCCCAUUGGCUCCUCCAGGUGGCCCAGAAAUGGGACAGGCAGCAUGGAGAGAGACAGUGUGUUAUAGGCUGCAUCGUGUCCCCUCACUCCCAAAUUCAUGGGUUGGAGUCCUAACCCUGAGGACCUCAGAAUGUGACUAUAUUUGGCAAUAGGGUCUUUAAAGAGGUAAUUAAAUUAAAAUGAGGUCAUAUGGGUGGGCCCUCAUCCAAUACGACUGUCCUUAUAAGAAGAGGAAAUUUGCAUACAGACAUGCACAGAGGGAAGACGACGUGAAGACACAGGAAGAAGAUAGGCCUCUACAGGCCAAGGAGAGACGCCUCAGAAGGAACCAACCCUGCUGACAUCUUGAUCUUGAACUUCUAGCCUCCUAAACUGAGAAAAUAAAUUUCUGUUGUUUAAGCCACCUGGGCUGUGGUAUUUGUUAUGGCAGCCUGAGCAAACGAAUACGGGCUGAUAGUGAGAGGCACAGAAAGGUGCCUGGGCCCACAGGUCAUUGCCACACACCUGACACAGGUGUCCUGAAUGCUUCACCUGCACCUCCCUCCUGCAGCUCCCGGAGGCUGGGAGAGAAGCCUGUUCUCUCCUCUCCUUGGACACAGGUCAUAGAGGAAGAGAGCAGGAGACAAAGACAGAGGCCUUGGGAACAAAGAGGCUUUGUCUUUCCCCUGCUUCCUUCAUCUGUACUGGGUUGUGGGUAAGAGCAGUGUAAGAUCUUUUUAUUUUCUUUUUGGUGAGGAAGAUUGGCCCUGAGUGAACAUCUGUUGCCAGUCUUCUUCUUUUUGUAAAAAAUUUUCUCCCCAAAGCCCCAGUACGUAGUCAUAUAUCCUAGUUGUAGGUCAUUCUAGUUCUUCUAUGUGGGACACCACCACAGCAUGGCUUGAUGAGUGAUAUGUAGGUCUGCGCCCAGGAUCUGAAUCCGUGAACUCCGCGUCACCGAAGCAGAGUGUGUGAACUUGAUCACUCAGCCAUGGGGCCGGCCUCUGUAAGGUCUUUUGAACCAGGCUGGCAUCAGACUUCCUGAGUUCUCCUGUCCUGACUCCACCACUUCCUGGCUGUGUGACUUUGGCUCCACCCACCUCACGGCUACCGUAUUGGACCGGCACAGCAUGAGGCUGUACUGCCUUGCGAUGGAUGCCGUAACACUACAUUUUGGACAGCACGCAGAUGAGGAAGCAGGUGAUUCUCCAAACCCUCACGGUGACUAAGCCAGACUGUCGGGACUCCAGCUUGCUGCGCCUGGCUUUCCACCAGGCUUCAGAGUGGCGUGCUUGAGGAAGAGUCAUGAGUAAUAUUGAGGAUGAUUCAGCGUCUCUCGGUUGUUGCACUCCUGCACCACCUAAAGAGAAAAACGACAAGACAAGAACAUUUCUUUUCUGAUACCAGUGUCAUAAUAUGAUAUUGGAUAAUUACAGCGCAAUGUAAUCAUAUCUCAAGGGGGAAUAUAUAGCUCAAAACACAGAGCUGGGUGUGGGGACCAGGGCUUGAUUCCCCAGGAGUGUGGGGACCUGACCUAGGUUCUAAGACCUGCUCAGUCUCAGAAUCAAUCAGCUGAUUGGACUGUGGGCAAGCCCCCUUUGCUAACUGUUCUUAGCAUGGCCCUGAAGAUUCUGGGGUUGGCAACUGUAAAUGCCACGGGAGCCUAGCUUACCUGAGUCCUCUGGGGACUCAGCCUGUGGCGUGUCUGCCCCUGAGGCAGAGCCCAGAAGCCAGUGCUGGACAUCAGGCUCAGGGGACAGUCAAGGUGAGUACCAGCUCAUUUCCACCAGAGGUCAGCAUUGCUCAGUGGUCGGAAGCUCCGCAGACACCAGCUUGGCCCAGGAUAUACCUCCGGGAGGCAUCUCUAUGCUCCUUGUCUGGCUGAGACGAGAGUGUCCAGUGCUUAUUUCCAACUCCCUAACCAUGCCUAGAACCUGAGCGGUCACAAGGGUGGGAGAUGCUAUAGCACCUGCCUCAUGCCUUCUUGGCAAAGGGAGAUUGCGGUUGGAUACUCGUGGUACCUCUUGCAGCCCUGGGGCUGGUGUGCAACUCAUCAGCUGAGCCCUGUGGCAUCCUGAGGUGGCUCCCUUUCUGCAUUCAUACCAAACUGUUGACUGUACCACUGGCUGCUGUCAGUCUUGGGAAGGCAUGGCUGGCACCUAUCAUACCUCAAAAAACGAAGAUGCAAAGUAUCAUUAAAAAAGAACAACAACAAGGGCUGGCCCUGUGGCCGAGUGGUUAAGUUCGUGUGCUCUGCUGCAGGCGGCCCAGUGUUUCGUUGGUUCGAAUCCUGGGCGCAGACAUGGCAUGCUCAUCAAACCACGCUGAGGCAGCCUCCCACAUGCCACAACUAGAAGGACCCACAACGAAGAAUAUACAACUAUGUACUGGGGGGCUUUGGGGAAAAAAAGUAAAAAAAUUUUUUUUAAAAAAAAAAAAGAACAACAAAAUGCGACUGCACAAAUUGUUCAGGAUUAUGAACUGUAUACCAUUGUGUAUACCAUUGCAGACCCUGGAACCAGCCCUCCUAGAUUUGGAUCCCCCUUCCAAUACUUAGAAAUUGAGGGAUGUAGGUAAAUUUCUUACCAUCUUUGUGCCUCACUUUCUACAUCUGUAAACAGGGAAUAUUAUCAUUCCCAUUUAUCAUAAUCGACCCUCCCUAUCCCACAGAGAUACUGUGAGGAUUAAAUGAGAUAAUUGCAAUAGGCAAUGUUUAAUGAGCAUUUGCUCUGUGUCAGGCACAGACCUAAGACUUUUCUUGUAGUAUCUCAUAAUUCUGACAACUCCUGUAUAUUAUUACCUCCAUUUUACAGUUUGUGAAACCAAGGCUUGGAGGGCAUACUAGCAGAGCCAGAAUUUUAAAUGAGUGGUUUUGCCCUCAGAUGUUGCUCUUUAAUCAUUGUCCUUCAUUGUUGCCUGUUGACGUGGAGUGAACACUCAAUAAAUA